rnacentral:snRNA from 1 species
UUGAAUCCUAGUUAAAGUAAGU